rnacentral:lncRNA from 1 species
AGAAGAAGUGGCCCUUUCUCGUCCGUUGGAUCUAUCAUAUUCGGAGACUGAAUCUGGACCACACAAUUAGAUUGAAACUGACCAUUUGAUCGCGCCUAAAGAGGGAACGCAACUAGUCUGUUCACGCACGCGGGAUGAGAUCUGGACUUUUGAAUUGUUGGGCACGCUGAUCGCCCGUGCAGGUUCCUGCUUAGUGCCUGUAACGGCCUCAAAAAUUAAAAGAAAAUGUAUAUAUAUUUAUUC